UACGUAGGGUGCAAGCGUUUAAUCGGAAUUACUGGGCGUAAAGCGUGCGCAGGCGGUCUGUUAAGACCGAUGUGAAAUCCCCGGGCUUAACCUGGGAACUGCAUUGGUGACUGGCAGGCUUUGAGUGUGGCAGAGGGAGGUAGAAUUCCACGUGUAGCAGUGAAAUGCGUAGAGAUGUGGAGGAACACCGAUGGCGAAGGCAGCCCCCUGGGUUAACACUGACGCUCAGGCACGAAAGCGUGGGGAGCAAACAGG
rnacentral:rRNA from 1 species